GGCCACACUGGGACUGAGACACGGCCCAGACUCCUACGGGAGGCAGCAGUAGGGAAUCUUCCGCAAUGGACGAAAGUCUGACGGAGCAACGCCGCGUGAGCGAUGAAGGCUUUCGGGUCGUAAAGCUCUGUUGUCAGGGAAGAACAAGUACCGGAGUAACUGCCGGUACCUUGACGGUACCUGACCAGAAAGCCACGGCUAACUACGUGCCAGCAGCCGCGGUAAUACGUAGGUGGCAAGCGUUGUCCGGAAUUAUUGGGCGUAAAGCGCGCGCAGGCGGUUCCUUAAGUCUGAUGUGAAAGCCCCCGGCUCAACCGGGGAGGGUCAUUGGAAACUGGGGAACUUGAGUGCAGAAGAGGAGAGCGGAAUUCCACGUGUAGCGGUGAAAUGCGUAGAGAUGUGGAGGAACACCAGUGGCGAAGGCGGCUCUCUGGUCUGUAACUGACGCUGAGGCGCGAAAGCGUGGGGAGCGAACAGGAUUAGAUACCCUGGUAGUCCACGCCGUAAACGAUGAGUGCUAAGUGUUAGAGGGUUUCCGCCCUUUAGUGCUGCAGCAAACGCAUUAAGCAC
rnacentral:rRNA from 1 species